rnacentral:rRNA from 1 species
AUUGAACGCUGGCGGCAUGCUUUACACAUGCAAGUCGAACGGUAACAGGGAGCUUGCUCCGCUGACGAGUGGCGAACGGGUGAGUAAUGCGUCGGAACGUGCCGAGUAGUGGGGGAUAACGCAUCGAAAGGUGUGCUAAUACCGCAUACGUACUGAGGUAGAAAGUGGGGGACCUUCGGGCCUCACGCUAUCCGAGCGGCCGACGUCUGAUUAGCUAGUUGGUGAGGUAAAGGCUAACCAAGGCGACGAUCAGUAGCGGGUCUGAGAGGAUGAUCCGCCACACUGGGACUGAGACACGGCCCAGACUCCUACGGGAGGCAGCAGUGGGGAAUUUUGGACAAUGGGCGCAAGCCUGAUCCAGCCAUGCCGCGUGUCUGAAGAAGGCCUUCGGGUUGUAAAGGACUUUUGUCCGGGAGCAAAUGCCUGGUGUUAAUAGCAUCGGGAGCUGAGAGUACCGGAAGAAUAAGCACCGGCUAACUACGUGCCAGCCGCCGCGGUAAUAC